rnacentral:tRNA from 1 species
CGAAACUGUAGUUUAAUUAAAAUAUUAGCAUUGGAAGCUAAAGAUUAGGUUUUAUUCCUGCAUUUCGA